UCUUGGAUUUAUGGCAGGCCCGUCCCCCUGGACCUUUCAUAGUAUCCCAAACCAGAGCAAACCUAGCCCCAAACCAUUGGCUGGCCUUGUCCAAAGGCCUCAGCACUGAAACAGGUUGCACAGUU
rnacentral:snoRNA from 1 species